rnacentral:rRNA from 1 species
GACGAACGCUGGCGGCGUGCUUAACACAUGCAAGUCGAACGGAAAGGCCCUGCUUUUGUGGGGUGCUCGAGUGGCGAACGGGUGAGUAACACGUGAGUAACCUGCCCUUGACUUUGGGAUAACUUCAGGAAACUGGGGCUAAUACCGGAUAGGAGCUCCUGCUGCAUGGGGGGGGUUGGAAAGUUUCGGCGGUUGGGGAUGGACUCGCGGCUUAUCAGCUUGUUGGUGGGGUAGUGGCUUACCAAGGCUUUGACGGGUAGCCGGCCUGAGAGGGUGACCGGCCACCUUGGGACUGAGAUACGGCCCAGACGCCUACGGGAGGCAGCAGUGGGGAAUAUUGCACAAUGGGCGGACGCCUGAUGCAGCAACGCCGCGUGCGGGAUGCCGGCCUUCGGGUUGUAAACCGCUUUCGCCUGUGACGAAGCGUGAGUGACGGUAAUGGGUAAAGAAGCACCGGCUAACUACGUG